ACAGUUAUCCAGGUUUCUCCAAACUUCAAAGUUGCAGGUUAAGGUUUUCGAUAGGGUUAAAACAAGAAUUUCUUUAAAUUAAUAAUAUUCCUUUAGAACCCAUAGAAGCUGUUGACGGCCUUUCUUGAAAUUACGUAAGUGGCUGCAAAUGGUAUCGCAAAAUAACCUGUUGUCAUAUUCGCAUGGCUGUUGACAUCAACUAGAAACCGGAAGCAGGGUAUGCCAUCAUUUGAUUUUUUAAAUGAUUUUUCACUUCAUUACUCAAAGGACAGCACGGAAGCACUCAUGACUUAACUUUGGAAGAGGCUGUAUUUGGUAUUUGUAUUUGGUAUUGUAUUGGUUGGUGAAACAGAUUCGGACACGUCCUUGGACUUUGAAAGUGAUGAUGAUUUGGAGGAGUGAUGGGAAGAGUCAGGGAUCAGCACCAGAUGGCAGGGAGGAGGAGUUGGAGAUGAUUAGAGGGGGGAGUGGAGGAGAAGGGAGAGCACACCAGAGAGGGGUAUCUAUGGCGGCAACAGCCCAGCAUACGUUUCCGUGGAGAGUGCCUGCCCUUAGCCUACAGAGUUGUCACACACUAACACACACUAUUGCUGACACACAACUAUUGUGACACAUUAAAUCCCAAUAGGAAGAAUUUCCCGGAUAUCAUUAUGGAGGGCAAGUGCCACAGAGGUCAGAGUCUAAAAUGGUCUGCGGAUAAUGUUAUGGCGUGCCACUUGAGGGACAAAUGAGAUGCGUACAUUCUAUGUUCUAACAGAUCAGGGAAUGACACCCAAAAACCAGUAUCAAAAUACAGGCAGAACAAACUCAUAUAUGUUCCAGAGCUGGUCAUGGAUUACAACAAGAAAAUGGCCAUGUUGGACAAUUUAGGGGCUACUGUAAUGUUGGAUGCACAGGAAGGAAAUAUUGGAAGUAUGUGUUUUGGGGGAUGCUCAACAUGCUCAGCAAUUAUCAAUGCUUACAUUGUGUGGGGGACCCUGCAAAGGCCCCUUCCCAGAAACUGCAGGCGUGUGUCCCUGAAGGCAUUCAAAAUGCAACAUGCAACUUGUGCAUUCGCUUUGUGAUGGAUACAGUGGCAGGAAGUGGGAGCCAAGAGUGUGACACCAGGGGGUGUGGAUCGAGUUGUAACUCAUGAUGAAAGCAGGCCACUCCCUGGUGAAGUUUGAAGGUGUGCCUCCGGAGUGAACCCAGGGCAAAGAGUGGGAGAUGUGUAGAAACCUUUGGGUUCUCUGUGUUCUAUCCCACUUUGCAAGAUGGGGCCGUGCUUCCAGAAGCUCCAAUACAUGUUGUAGGCUAAAUUCAAACACUAAAGUGACAAUGUGAAAUAUGAACAAUGAAAGUCUGAACCUGAAAAUCUGAAAAAAAUAUGAAUCUAGACCAAUAUUUAGUGUUUUUUACCAUCUCUCUUUAUCUGUCUCUAAUACUUGUUGCAUUUACUGAAUUGUUGUCGAUAUUACUUAAAAAUGUUGUGCCACUUUGUAGAAUGGGGCCAUGCUUCAACAAGUUCCAUGACAUGUUGUAGGCCAAUUGCAAACAAUCGUAUGACAGUGUGACGUUCCUUUUUACUACAAAUCUUUUAGGGAAAUUGUGUGUUUUAAAAUAGUCUCUGAACAGUUGUGCUUUUUAUCUGAAUCUUUCUCUAUAUAAUACUAGUUGCAUUCACAAAAUUGUUGUCAAAGUACUAUUUCUACAUUUUGUGUCAGGCCUGGUUUCUAAUAAAUGGUAUUGGGAGAGGUUGUCUACAUUUUGAAAUGUUGUUUCCAUUUUAACAUUGUAACAAUAAUCUUUGGCAAUUCAAUAGAGUACUUUGUGUGGGUUUUGAAAACAUUUCUAAAUAUUGUCCCCUGGUCAACUUUUUGAUAUAUAUUCUUUGAAUAUGCACAGUAUAUGUAAAUAAUAUUUCUAAGUAUAAUAUAUUGUAGUUGGUACAUUUUGAUUGAGUAAUUUGGUCAAAUGUACUACAAUUUAAAUAUUUAAAUACUAAAGUUGUUUGUUGUGUAUGGAAAAUCUUACAUAGGACACCCAAAGUCGAUAUUAAAUUAAUCACUCUUUGUUGUCAGCAAGCUGGGGAGGUCACAGUCAAACUUAUAUGCAUAAGUACCGGUCUGAAGUGCGCUCUAAAAGGGUGUUCCUUACAUAGAACCUUAUAUACUGCUAUCUAAACCUACAUCAACAUGAUUCAUUGGAUCGGUUCACACAUGUGACUGGCUCCGUCUAUCUUGACUUAAAGAACAUAUUCUGGGCAUUCUGCCAGAUGUUCCUCCGGAGGGGGCCCUCCCUCUCCUCUCUUGAUCAGACAGACAGGAACCAAAGAUUGUUUAUGACACCAAAGAGAAGAUGCACAAAGUAAAUGUAAUCCAUUACAGAUUGUUAAUCUUUUUUUAUAUUGAGUGUAACCCUUUACCCAAUGGGAAACAGAUAGGGUUAUUCCUAUUGAAAUUAAUGUGGUAUCAUAUUAAAGAAGAGUUUGUGCUUUUUAAAACUGA